AUACGGAGGGUGCGAGCGUUACUCGGAAUCACUGGGCGUAAAGCGCAUGCAGGCGGUCUAAUAAGUUGGAAGUGAAAGCCUAUGGCUCAACCAUAGAACUGCUUCCAAAACUGUUAGACUAGAGUCUGGGAGGGGAAGAUGGAAUUAGUAGUGUAGGGGUAAAAUCCGUAGAGAUUACUAGGAAUACCAAAAGCGAAGGCGAUCUUCUGGAACAGUACUGACGCUGAGAUGCGAAAGCGUGGGGAGCAAACAGGAUUAGAUACCCUAGUAGUCC
rnacentral:rRNA from 1 species